AUGAAGGCAGCACUCAUGCAUGACCAGGACACCACCAGCGGGGAUCGUGCGGGUUUUCUCAUGCCAGUACCAUCCAAGAGCCUGGUUAUCACCCAAUCUCCAGCAGACGAACAGAAAGGAUGGUGGGACGGGCUUGCAGGUUUAAUUAUGAUGCUGGACGGCGAGGCCACACACACCGCCCGGUCAGUGGUUUUUGGUCCGGCAUCUCGUGACUUCCCGUCGAAGCAACAAGCCAUGCAUGCAGCGUAUGCCAUGCCGCACUGGAUUGACGGCCGAGAUCAUCCAACUAUGUUGGUGUCCGUGUGGAAAGCGGCCGACUUGUUUUUAAAAACGGUCUCGCUGGAAGAGCUUGAAAGCGCAAUUAUAACUCAUGCCACCCCAAGGUUCAUCUCGAUCACCCCGACGCCACUGCUUACAUAG
rnacentral:rRNA from 1 species